UGGACAACUGAGCCUGGGAGAGGGGAGUGGAACUGAAAAUAAAGAAAGCAGGGACCCGUGGUGUCUGAGCUGGUGUGGGUUCAUUUUUGAUCAUGUGACACACAACAGUUGUCAUGCUGCCCCUUCUAUGGACCAAGAACCUGUGGCUCAGAGAGGUAUUGUAAAUGAUCAAGACACAGCCUCGAUUGCUGAAGGCGCAAAGUCAUGGCCCCUCCAAGGUCAUUCAAGUGUGCCCAGGACAUACUCACUGAGGAGACAACAUCUGACCAAAGACCCAUGAGAGUGAAGCAACACCCCGAUCUGGAAGAAGAGUGUUCUAGGCAAAACAGCCAGUGCAAAGGGCUUGGGGUCAGAAACAUGCCUGGCUUGUGGCUGGGGUGGGGAAGUAGCUGCCUAGUGUGCACAGUGGUACCUUGUCCUCAGCAACAGUGCCCUACCAGGGCCACAUGGUAUCUGGUUUGAGCCCCCUACCCCCCCCCCCGCUGUGAACAGGAAUCAUUCCCUAUGGUUGGCACUCCCAUUCUCC
rnacentral:lncRNA from 1 species